rnacentral:rRNA from 1 species
AUGAACGCUGGCGGCGUGCCUCAUACAUGCAAGUCGAGCGAACAGACGAGGAGCUUGCUCCUCUGACGUUAGCGGCGGACGGGUGAGUAACACGUGGAUAACCUACCUAUAAGACUGGGAUAACUUCGGGAAACCGGAGCUAAUACCGGAUAAUAUAUUGAACCGCAUGGUUCAAUAGUGAAAGACGGUUUUGCUGUCACUUAUAGAUGGAUCCGCGCCGCAUUAGCUAGUUGGUAAGGUACGGCUUACCAAGGCAACGAUGCGUAGCCGACCUGAGAGGGUGAUCGGCCACACUGGAACUGGGACACGGUCCAGACUCCUACGGGAGGCAGCAGUAGGGAAUCUUCCGCAAUGGGCGAAAGCCUGACGGAGCAACGCCGCGUGAGUGAUGAAGGUCUUCGGAUCGUAAAACUCUGUUAUUAGGGAAGAACAAAUGUGUAAGUAACUAUGCACGUCUUGACGGUACCUAAUCAGAAAGCCACGGCUAACUACGUG